UCGAGAAUCUUCGGCAAUGGGCGCAAGCCUGACCGAGCGACGCCGCGUGGAGGAUGAAGGCCUUCGGGUUGUAAACUCCUGUCGAGGGGGAGGAAGGGGAGACCUUGACCGAUCCCUGGAGGAAGCACGGGCUAAGUUCGUGCCAGCAGCCGCGGUAAGACGAACCGUGCGAACGUUAUUCGGAAUCACUGGGCUUAAAGCGCGUGUAGGCGGAUGGGAACGUCGGCCACUGAAAGCCCCCGGCUCAACCGGGGAAGUGGUGCCGAAACGACCCGUCUGGAGGGACGUAGGGGGACCUGGAACUUCCGGUGGAGCGGUGAAAUGCGUUGAGAUCGGAAGGAACGCCCGUGGCGAAAGCGAGGUCCUGGACGUCAUCUGACGCUGAGACGCGAAAGCUAGGGGAGCGAACG
rnacentral:rRNA from 1 species